rnacentral:rRNA from 1 species
UACGGGGGGGGCAAGCGUUGUUCGGAAUUACUGGGCGUAAAGGGCUCGUAGGCGGCCAACUAAGUCAGACGUGAAAUCCCUCGGCUUAACCGGGGAACUGCGUCUGAUACUGGAUGGCUGGAGUUUGGGAGAGGGAUGCGGAAUUCCAGGUGUAGCGGUGAAAUGCGUAGAUAUCUGGAGGAACACCGGUGGCGAAGGCGGCAUCCUGGACCGGCAUUGACGCUGAGGAGCGAAAGCUAGGGGAGCAAACGGG